UGCAUUCGCUAGGGGUGUUGCCCUGUAUUGAAAAGUGCAGGCCGACUGAGAGAGUCCCUUUGAACCUGAUUGAGGUAAUCCUCGCGCAGGGAAGCAAGUCCGGCCUUGG
rnacentral:ncRNA from 1 species